AAAAAAACCCAGGGGAAAUAUCAUGUCAUAAAAGUGGUUUUCCCAGGGGGAAGCUCAUCCAUUGCACUUUGGGUAUGCUGCUGAUCCCUGUGAUUUCCCCAAAUGUGGGGAACUCAACUGCAUAAUUUGUACUAAUGGGGGAUUGCGUUUGUGAUUUCCCUGU
rnacentral:snRNA from 1 species